AUGGGCCUCUGCUCAGCACGCGCAUGUAGGCGCGGUCCGGAUGAUCCGGGCGGGGAGCGGGAUGAUCCAUGUCAGGGUCCGGAUGAUCCGGGUGACGGCCUGCCGGAGACCCUGCACCAUGAGAUUGCCACGGUUCAGGGACGCUUCUUCUUGGCUGGCGAGGGCGAUAAGCAGAAAUACCACAUGGUUCGGUGACUGGAGAUCUGUAAACCUCGUGAUCAGGGCGGACUCAGGAUCAUGUCCUCCAAACACAUGAAUAUUGCUCUCCUGACUAGGUGGCUUUGGCGGAUUGCGAACGGCGAGGGUGGCUUGUGGCUCCACAUCAUCCAGCAGAAAUACCUCCGUGGCCAGCCACUAGCCUUCUACCAGCGGGCCUGUGGCUCCUAG
rnacentral:rRNA from 1 species